GGGAAAUCAAAGACCAAUAAAAAUCUAAAAUACGACCUUGACCUUUGACCUUGACCUAAUUUUCGUUUUUUUGGACCAAGGAUCUCAAAUCAAAAGACCCGAGGUCUCUAUCACUUAUGGUUUUCCAGUUUAAAAUACAUUUCAAAAUUUCAAAAACAAAAGGGGAAUUAACUCUCAUAUGGAAUCUCUAUAAGGCUUCGGUAAAAAAAAAACAGAACGUCCUGAGGAUGUAACGCGCCAUUUGGAAAAAUAAAUUUGUCGGUUUCUUAAACGGUUGUGAAGAUUAAGCGAUAACAAAAAAAACAGUGUUCGGGGAGAUAACUCUUAUAUGGGAAAGUAUUGGGUUUCGCGGUGUCAGUUUCAAAAGCGCACAAACUGUUCGAUAUCAUAUUUCAUUUAUUUAAGCGACAUCUUGCGAAACAAAAAAAACAGCGAAGGAAAAAAAUGUUGGCGGAAGAAAAAAAAUAAUAAUAAUAAUAAUAAUAAUAAUCAGAACAAAAACAAUAGGUCUUUCAUCCGAAAGGUUGAAAGACCUAAUAAUAGGGAAAAAACUGGAGUUGUCGUUCGUUUUACGUUGAUAGGAUAGAUAGCACACAAACUACAUUCAGUUGUCAGUGGAGGGUAAAAAAAAAGGGGGGGCCAAAAGAGGGUCUCGGAGAGGAUUUUUUUUUUUUUUUUAUAUUAAUGGAACAGAAUGGUUAAAAAGGCCUUUUUACAAUAUAAAUCAAUUGCUUUUAAAAAGCAAUUGUGAACGGUCUUUCACCCCCUUAAAAAGAUGAUUGAUUGAUGUGUGUGUGUGUGUGUGUGUGUGUGUGUGUGUGUGUGUGUGUGUGUGUGUGUGUGUGUGUGUGUGUGUUUGUUUGUUUGUUUGUUUGUUUGUUUGUUUGUUUGUUUGUUUGUGUAAGGGGUCUAUAGUAUUGUGUUACCGGAGAAGUUUCAUGUUUAGUUUGGAAAGUGUUUCUUUUAUUUUAGGUACAGCGCGCGCGACAUCACGUGACACGGGUUUAUAAUAACGAAAACUUAGUCUUUUUAUUUCUUUUGAGGUGGGGACGUUGAACAGACAACAUGUAUAUAGAGACGGAAUGCACACAAUGUAAUUUCUUUUGUCAUUGUAGGAAAUUGACAUUUUGAUCACAGGUCACGGGCAGUGCAUGUUUUGGAUUUAAUCGAUCCGGUGUAACUUUAAAACACAUUUAAUGAUUAUUUUCUGAUAAUGUACAUUUUUCAGCACC
rnacentral:lncRNA from 1 species